AUUGAACGCUGGCGGCAGGCCUAACACAUGCAAGUCGAGCGAGCGGCGGACGGGUGAGUAAUGUAUGGGGAUCUGCCUGAUUGAGGGGGAUAACUACUGGAAACGGUAGCUAAUACCGCAUACCCUCAGAUGCACCCCUAUGGGAUUAGCUGGUAGGUGGGGUAACGGCUCACCUAGGCGACGAUCCCUAGCUGGUCUGAGAGGAUGAUCAGCCAUAGUGGGACUGAGACACGGCCCAGACUCCUACGGGAGGCAGCAGUGGGGAAUAUUGCACAAUGGGCGCAAGCCUGAUGCAGCCAUGCCGAGUGUAUGAAGAAGGCCUUCGGGUUGUAAAGUACUUUCAGUCGGGAGGCGUUACCGACAGAAGAAGCACCGGCGAACUCCGUGCAAGCAGCCGCGGUAAUUC
rnacentral:rRNA from 1 species